rnacentral:rRNA from 1 species
CGCCCUUCUGGAGUUUGGCAGAGGGGGGUGGAAUUCCACGUGUAGCAGUGAAAUGCGUAGAGAUGUGGAGGAACACCGAUGGCGAAGGCAGCCCCCUGGGCCAAUACUGACGCUCAUGCACGAAAGCGUGGGGAGCAAACAGGAUUAGAUACCCUGGUAGUCCACGCCCUAAACGAUGUCGACUAGGUGUUGGGAGGGUUAAACCUUUUAGUGCCGUAGCUAAC